rnacentral:rRNA from 1 species
AAAUGAAUAGACGGGGGCCCGCACAAGCAGUGGAGUAUGUGGUUUAAUUCGAAGCAACGCGAAGAACCUUACCAGGUCUUGACAUCGUGCGCAUAGCCUAGAGAUAGGCGAAGCCCUUCGGGGCGCAUAGACAGGUGGUGCAUGGUUGUCGUCAGCUCGUGUCGUGAGAUGUUGGGUUAAGUCCCGCAACGAGCGCAACCCUUAUGAUUAGUUGCUACGCAAGAGCACUCUAAUGAGACUGCCGUUGACAAAACGGAGGAAGGUGGGGAUGACGUCAAAUCAUCAUGCCCCUUAUGACCUGGGCUACACACGUACUACAAUGGCGCUCAAACAACGGGAAGCGACACCGCGAGGUGAAGCGGAUCCCAAAAAAGCGUCUCAGUUCGGAUCGCAGGCUGCAACCCGCCUGCGUGAAGUCGGAAUUGCUAGUAAUCGCAGAUCAGCAUGCUGCGGUGAAUACGUUCCCGGGCCUUGUACACACCGCCCGU